AUUGGUAACAAUAAAUUAAGUAUGUAGUUUGCUAUAUCAGUACUUUACACAACUAUGUAAGGAUGCAUAUGACCGAGACAAUAGUGCUUGAAUGAAAACCAAUACAGUGCCAUUUUGUCAGAAUGUAUUUAAUCGCUUCCACUAUUAAUUAUAGGAUGGUUCAUUUGUAUAUUAAAAAAUCAAUGGUAUAUGUUAUAUUAAUGU